CAGAUAGCUCAGUAACACGUGGCCAAACUACCCUCUGGACGCGGAUAACCUCGGGAAACUGAGGCUAAUCCGUGAUACGAUUCUCAGCCUGGAACUGGCGAGAAUCCGAAACGUUCCGGCGCCAGAGGAUGUGGCUGCGGCCGAUUAGGUAGACGGUGGGGUAACGGCCCACCGUGCCGAUAAUCGGUACGGGUUGUGAGAGCAAGAGCCCGGAGACGGUAUCUGAGACAAGAUACCGGGCCCUACGGGGCGCAGCAGGCGCGAAACCUUUACACUGCACGACAGUGCGAUAAGGGGACUCCGAGUGCGAGGGCAUAUCGUCCUCGCUUUUCACUACCGUAAGGUGGUAGUAGAAUAAGUGCUGGGCAAGACCGGUGCCAGCCGCCGCGGUAAUACCGGCAGCACGAGUGAUGACCGCUCUUAUUGGGCCUAAAGCGUCCGUAGCUGGCCUUGCAAGUCCAUCGGGAAAUCCGCGCGCUCAACGCGCGGGCGUCCGGUGGAAACUGCAGGGCUUGGGACCGGAAGACCAGAGGGGUACGUCUGGGGUAGGAGUGAAAUCCCGUAAUCCUGGACGGACCACCGGUGGCGAAAGCGCCUCUG
rnacentral:rRNA from 1 species